ensembl:snoRNA
AUCCUUUUGCAGUUCAUCACCCUGAUGAGUGGAUUCCAUGUGCAUGUGUUAGAUGCGCCUCCCACACAUUUUGUUACGAUGUCAUGGUGAAAAGGUUACCCAUCGGACU